rnacentral:rRNA from 1 species
AGCGUACACGGUGGAUGCCCUGGCAGUCAGAGGCGAUGAAGGACGUGCUAAUCUGCGAUAAGCGUCGGUAAGGUGAUAUGAACCGUUAUAACCGGCGAUUUCCGAAUGGGGAAACCCAGUGUGAUUCGUCACACUAUCAUUAACUGAAUCCAUAGGUUAAUGAGGCGAACCGGGGGAACUGAAACAUCUAAGUACCCCGAGGAAAAGAAAUCAACCGAGAUUCCCCCAGUAGCGGCGAGCGAACGGGGAGCAGCCCAGAGCCUGAAUCAGUGUGUGUGUUAGUGGAAGCGUCUGGAAAGGCGCGCGAUACAGGGUGACAGCCCCGUACACAAAAAUGCACAUGCUGUGAGCUCGAUGAGUAGGGCGGGACACGUGGUAUCCUGUCUGAAUAUGGGGGGACCAUCCUCCAAGGCUAAAUACUCCUGACUGACCGAUAGUGAACCAGUACCGUGAGGGAAAGGCGAAAAGAACCCCGGCGAGGGGAGUGAAAAAGAACCUGAAACCGUGUACGUACAAGCAGUGGGAGCACGCUUAGGCGUGUGACUGCGUACCUUUUGUAUAAUGGGUCAGCGACUUAUAUUCUGUAGCAAGGUUAACCGAAUAGGGGAGCCGAAGGGAAACCGAGUCUUAACUGGGCGUUAAGUUGCAGGGUAUAGACCCGAAACCCGGUGAUCUAGCCAUGGGCAGGUUGAAGGUUGGGUAACACUAACUGGAGGACCGAACCGACUAAUGUUGAAAAAUUAGCGGAUGACUUGUGGCUGGGGGUGAAAGGCCAAUCAAACCGGGAGAUAGCUGGUUCUCCCCGAAAGCUAUUUAGGUAGCGCCUCGUGAAUUCAUCUCCGGGGGUAGAGCACUGUUUCGGCAAGGGGGUCAUCCCGACUUACCAACCCGAUGCAAACUGCGAAUACCGGAGAAUGUUAUCACGGGAGACACACGGCGGGUGCUAACGUCCGUCGUGAAGAGGGAAACAACCCAGACCGCCAGCUAAGGUCCCAAAGUCAUGGUUAAGUGGGAAACGAUGUGGGAAGGCCCAGACAGCCAGGAUGUUGGCUUAGAAGCAGCCAUCAUUUAAAGAAAGCGUAAUAGCUCACUGGUCGAGUCGGCCUGCGCGGAAGAUGUAACGGGGCUAAACCAUGCACCGAAGCUGCGGCAGCGACGCUUAUGCGUUGUUGGGUAGGGGAGCGUUCUGUAAGCCUGUGAAGGUGUACUGUGAGGUAUGCUGGAGGUAUCAGAAGUGCGAAUGCUGACAUAAGUAACGAUAAAGCGGGUGAAAAGCCCGCUCGCCGGAAGACCAAGGGUUCCUGUCCAACGUUAAUCGGGGCAGGGUGAGUCGACCCCUAAGGCGAGGCCGAAAGGCGUAGUCGAUGGGAAACAGGUUAAUAUUCCUGUACUUGGUGUUACUGCGAAGGGGGGACGGAGAAGGCUAUGUUGGCCGGGCGACGGUUGUCCCGGUUUAAGCGUGUAGGCUGGUUUUCCAGGCAAAUCCGGAAAAUCAAGGCUGAGGCGUGAUGACGAGGCACUACGGUGCUGAAGCAACAAAUGCCCUGCUUCCAGGAAAAGCCUCUAAGCAUCAGGUAACAUCAAAUCGUACCCCAAACCGACACAGGUGGUCAGGUAGAGAAUACCAAGGCGCUUGAGAGAACUCGGGUGAAGGAACUAGGCAAAAUGGUGCCGUAACUUCGGGAGAAGGCACGCUGAUAUGUAGGUGAAGUCCCUCGCGGAUGGAGCUGAAAUCAGUCGAAGAUACCAGCUGGCUGCAACUGUUUAUUAAAAACACAGCACUGUGCAAACACGAAAGUGGACGUAUACGGUGUGACGCCUGCCCGGUGCCGGAAGGUUAAUUGAUGGGGUCAGCGCAAGCGAAGCUCUUGAUCGAAGCCCCGGUAAACGGCGGCCGUAACUAUAACGGUCCUAAGGUAGCGAAAUUCCUUGUCGGGUAAGUUCCGACCUGCACGAAUGGCGUAAUGAUGGCCAGGCUGUCUCCACCCGAGACUCAGUGAAAUUGAACUCGCUGUGAAGAUGCAGUGUACCCGCGGCAAGACGGAAAGACCCCGUGAACCUUUACUAUAGCUUGACACUGAACAUUGAGCCUUGAUGUGUAGGAUAGGUGGGAGGCUUUGAAGUGUGGACGCCAGUCUGCAUGGAGCCGACCUUGAAAUACCACCCUUUAAUGUUUGAUGUUCUAACGUGGACCCGUAAUCCGGGUUGCGGACAGUGUCUGGUGGGUAGUUUGACUGGGGCGGUCUCCUCCUAAAGAGUAACGGAGGAGCACGAAGGUUGGCUAAUCCUGGUCGGACAUCAGGAGGUUAGUGCAAUGGCAUAAGCCAGCUUGACUGCGAGCGUGACGGCGCGAGCAGGUGCGAAAGCAGGUCAUAGUGAUCCGGUGGUUCUGAAUGGAAGGGCCAUCGCUCAACGGAUAAAAGGUACUCCGGGGAUAACAGGCUGAUACCGCCCAAGAGUUCAUAUCGACGGCGGUGUUUGGCACCUCGAUGUCGGCUCAUCACAUCCUGGGGCUGAAGUAGGUCCCAAGGGUAUGGCUGUUCGCCAUUUAAAGUGGUACGCGAGCUGGGUUUAGAACGUCGUGAGACAGUUCGGUCCCUAUCUGCCGUGGGCGCUGGAGAACUGAGGGGGGCUGCUCCUAGUACGAGAGGACCGGAGUGGACGCAUCACUGGUGUUCGGGUUGUCAUGCCAAUGGCACUGCCCGGUAGCUAAAUGCGGAAGAGAUAAGUGCUGAAAGCAUCUAAGCACGAAACUUGCCCCGAGAUGAGUUCU